rnacentral:rRNA from 1 species
AACGAACGCUGGCGGCAGGCCUAACACAUGCAAGUCGAGCGAGGACUUCGGUCCUAGCGGCGGACGGGUGAGUAACGCGUGGGAACGUGCCCUUUGCUUCGGAAUAGCCCUGGGAAACUGGGAGUAAUACCGGAUGAGCCCUUUGGGGGAAAGAUUUAUCGGCGAAGGAUCGGCCCGCGUUGGAUUAGGUAGUUGGUGGGGUAAUGGCCUACCAAGCCGACGAUCCAUAGCUGGUAUGAGAGGAUGAUCAGCCACACUGGGAAUGAGACACGGCCCAGACUCCUACGGGAGGCAGCAGUGGGGAAUCUUAGACAAUGGGGGAAACCCUGAUCUAGCCAUGCCGCGUGAGCGAUGAAGGCCUUAGGGUUGUAAAGCUCUUUCAGCUGGGAAGAUAAUGACGGUACCAGCAGAAGAAGCCCCGGCUAACUCCGUG